GAUGAACGCUGGCGGCGUGCUUAACACAUGCAAGUCGAACGAAGCACCUUGAUUUCUUCGGAAUGAUUGGUGACUGAGUGGCGGACGGGUGAGUAACGCGUGGGUAACCUGCCUCACACAGGGGGAUAACAGUUAGAAAUGACUGCUAAUACCGCAUAAGACCACAGUACCGCAUGGUACAGUGAUAAAAACUCCGGUGGUGUGAGAUGGGCACGCGUCUGAUUAGAUAGUUGGUGAGGUAACGGCCCACCAAGGCGACGAUCAGUAGCCGACCUGAGAGGGUGACCGGCCACACUGGGACUGAGACACGGCCCAAACUCCUACGGGAGGCAGCAGUGGGGAACAUUGCACAAUGGGCGAAAGCCUGAUGCAGCGACGCCGCGUGAAGGAUGAAGUAUUUCGGUAUGUAAACUUCUAUCAGCAGGGAAGAAAAUGACGGUACCUGACUAAGAAGCCCCGGCUAACUACGUGCCAGCCGCCGCAGUAAUAC
rnacentral:rRNA from 1 species